GACGAACGCUGGCGGCGUGCUUAACACAUGCAAGUCGAACGGAAAGGCCCUGCUUUUGUGGGGUGCUCGUGUGGCGAACGGGUGAGUAACACGUGAGUAACCUGCCCUUGACUUUGGGAUAACUUCAGGAAACUGGGGCUAAUACCGGAUAUGAGCUCCUGCUGCAUGGUGGGGGUUGGUAAGUUUCGGCGGUUGGGGAUGGACUCGCGGCUUAUGAGCUUGUUGGUGUGGUAGUGGCUUACCAAGGCUUUGACGGGUAGCCGGCCUGAGAGCGUGGACGGGCACAAUGGGACUGCGAUACGGCGCAGACUCCUACGGGAGGCAGCAGUCGGGAGCAUUGCACAAUGGGCGGGAGCCUGAUGCAGAGACGCCGCGUGCGGGAUGACGGGCUACGGGGGGUAAACCGAUUUCGACUGUGACGAAGCGUGAGUGACGGUAACGGGUAAAGAAGCACCGGCUAACUACGUG
rnacentral:rRNA from 1 species